rnacentral:rRNA from 1 species
AACGUAGGAGACAAACGUUAUCCGGAGUUACUGGGCGUAAAGGGCGUGUAGGUGGUUUCGUAAGUCUGGCGUGAAAUUUUUCGGCUUAACCGGGAAAGGUCGUCGGAUACUGCAGAACUAGAGGACGGUAGAGGCGUGUGGAAUUCCGGGUGUAGUGGUGAAAUGCGUAGAUAUCAGGAGGAACACCGGUGGUGUAGACGGCUUUCUGGACCGUAGCUGACGCUGAGACACAAAAGCGUGGGUAGCAAACAGG